GGAUCAAUGUUUCGGUCAUGCCGUUGGUAUGUACUGAUAUUAUUGGUUUCUCACCUUCUAAAGAACCGUAAUGCCAUUAAUUUGGUGUCACGGGGAAUUAGGACUGUUACCUUGAAAAAAUUAGAGUGUUUAAAGCAGGCUCACGCUUGAAUACAUUAGCAUGGAAUAAUGAAAUAGGACAUCCGAUUCUAUUUUGUUGGUUUCUAGGAUCGAUGUAAUGAUUAAUAGGGAUAGUUGGG
rnacentral:rRNA from 1 species